AAAAACUCAAAAUUACUUUGAGAAAAUAAUGGCUAUCACUAAUCACUUGAUUUCUUCACUUUGCUUGUUUUUAUCAUCUUCCCUUCUUAUGAAUGUGAAGAAGUAAUUAAUGAAGAUGGGAUACUUUUGGCUCCUGGAUGGUGUUUGAAGAGCCCAAUAAAAGCAGGAGAUUGGUGUUGUUGGACAACUUACAAUUGUUAUGAUAAUUAUGAAACAUGUAGACAUAAAUGUCCACCUUAUCCUCCUCAAAAUUAAUUAAUUUUAAACAUCUAAAAAUAUAAAAUUAUUACAAUAUUAUUUCCA